CCCAGCCCCGGUGCACAGUGCGUAAGGAAAGUCCAGACAAUGCGCUAGGGAAGCACACGCCUGCCAGCCUGCUGCGCUCAUUAUCCCCCCGCCUGGAAUUUCCAGGUCAAAGUCUAUGGUUCCCACUGCCCUGAUCCACUGCCCUUUCCAGAUUCUCCUUGUGAUGCCCUUCCUGCCAAGGCUGAGUGACCGACUCAGUACUUUCCUGCCAGCCCGGCAGAGUCACCCAGCACAUUACCUCUAAGGCGGGAUCCUGGCACAAACCCCGGCGGACCUGGAGAGCGGGAGAGACGCUGGGGACUGGACUUUCCCUUUGAGAACCUGAACUUUGGUCGGAUAAACCUAACUGCCCCCUCCCCCCAGCAGGUGAUUCUAGUUACUGGACCCGGCGCACACACACCACAAGCAUUCCUGGAAAACGUCCACACAGCAGAAAUCGUGAAGAUUAAACCAAGCACGUAUGUGUUCUCUUCCCACGCCUAGAGAGGACACACCUGAGCAAGAAGAGCAAGCUCUGCAUCUGGUCACAGGCACGUGGGAACCCUGUCAGACUCAGAUCUUUCUAAAGGAAGAUAUAGAGAUGCACACAGUGCCUCCUAAUGUACGGGAUCCCAGCACUCAGAAGACAGAGGACCAUCACCGCAAGACUGGGGCCAACAUUGGCUGCAGAGUGAGUUCAAGGCCUGUCUCAGAAAACAAACUACAAAAGAAAUAAACCAGCAAUCAAACAAAAACCAGCCAGAUGGGUCUCAUAAAUAUUAAUUAAUUAAUUAAUUAAUUAAUGUAAAGAAGUACUUGAAAAUUGGGCAGGAAUGUCAGGCAUGAGCGGGCACUGGGCAGUGGAGUGACAUCGUGCCCUGCUGCAGCAGCUGGAAGGCAGGGGUGAGGCGAGCCUCUUUGAGCAGAUAGAAUUAACUACAAAGGCCACUCCACUCUCAACCAGCACGUGGGGUGCUGAGCAGAGCACAAACCACACAAUGUGCUGCUGCAGAGAGGAUUUCCGGUCACCCAAUGUGCUCUGUGCUUCCACGCCACCCGCCCGGGGCCUUGGGAGGACCAAGUUCCAUCCGAAGUCCAGAGAGAGCCCAUGGAGGCUGGCACAAAAAGGCUGUCUAGGAGUGGGGCAGUCACCCUCAGAGCCUUGAGGAAAGGCAGAGGGAGAACGUGGUCAGGAAGCGUUAGCCAGGCCUGGGGAUCUCUGGUUAGAACUCACAAGGAGGAAUGUAUCUCUUUUUUUCUUACAUGCUGUGGGGAUCAGAGCAUCAGUCCACCUUCUGCAGGGCUAGGAUCUCGGAAAAACUGAGAAAGCUUGGAAGGCAUUUCUCUGUCCCCCACCCUACUGCUGUUUGCUGGCUCUCUUUGGUUAUUCCUAGUUAUCCAUAAGCUCCCGAGCUCCCUCCCACCAAAACAGCCAGGGCCACACUCUGCAGGUGAAGAAGCAGGUAGAGAGUUUCCAGCAGGAAAGAUCCCCGGCAGUUAAACAGCAUGCAUGUGGAGGGGGGAGGGGAACUGGACAUAUGCACACACCUAUUCAGCACCCAAAGUUAGGUGGUACAUGCCAUGGCGAUGACAGCACUGAGCUUGGAAGCACGGUCUCCAGCUCACUGCAGAUAACACACAACCCUGCCAACUUCAUGGAGUAACAGCAAAUUUGAGGACCAUCAUGAGAUGUUCUAAAGUAAUUACACUAUAAAAAUUAUGCAUAGAGAUCCCGAACAUUUAACCAGAAGGAAAAAAAAUGCCUUCUGCACUUCCUCUGGAAUGCAAGGCCUUAGCCCUUGCCAACACGGCAAAGCAUACACUUGCUGGAUAGUCCAGGUUUGAAAGAGGCUGGAACCACAUCCCCCACCCCCCAUCAGGACUAGGAGCUGCUGUGACAGCUGAGUACACUGUGGAAGGUGACACCAUUCUGGCUCUCCAGCAAGCCAAUGCAGAAGGAAGAGCCAUAGAAAAUGUCAUCUGAGCAUGACCCCUGACCAUCCUGCAGUAUGCAUUAAGAAGAUCAUAGCCACAGCUUCUUUCCUAUUAUUGUUUGCAUAAGAAUGAAGCAAAUUUCCUCUUUAAGGGUUCCAAUCCUAGCAGGAGGAAGAAGAAAUGCAAUAACCCAUUCAACUUGUCAGGUGGGAAAAGCAACAGGAAAAAGCAUCAGCUACCAUACCCCAGCCUCCUUUUCAGUAGAAGGAGACAGACCUCUUAGAAGAAAGGCUGGUGUCAGGGUUGGUGGAGGACAAGAAAGAUAUGUAGCUUCCUCCAGGACAAGAAAGAAAGGCAUACAUAAAUGGCCUAUAAUUUGUGCAACAAAAUAUGACACAUAAAUUCAUUUUUAAUAAUUGCAUAAUAAAAUGAAUAUGCAAAUAAAAGAGGCUAGUUCUUCCUUUUAUGAGAAGUCAAAUGCCAAGUGACAACUAAGGAGAGAAGGGCCGCAUCAGGUGAUGCUUGCUUCAGCAGGGGUCCUCAGUGAAGAUUUCACCAGUAACAGUGUUUCUCCUGUGAAGAAAACAGGUCUGCUUGUGUAGCCAACAAAGUAUCUGUUAGUGACCAAAGAAAGGAAGAUUAACAUUAACCAGAGAUUAUGUUACUCACACCAGGAACCCCCAAAGGCACCCCGCCUGAGUGAAUGACAUUUUAUAAUUUAUUGAGUCACUCAUCAAAACCAUCAAGCUCACAAAAGACCCAAAAAGGCAGAAGGCCUGUACCAGAUUUGAGGGGACUACCCAGACAGGUGGCAACUAAAUGUGAGAUCGUUCACAGACCUCAGAUGGGAAAAUGACAUCAUUGUGAGCGGCAAUGACAUUUAGCAGUAUUGGGGUUACAGCAUUUUAUAGACGUUGCCUUCCUAGUUGUGAUCACUGCUCUGUGAUUUAUGGGAAUAUUACCAGUGGGGGAAUUUGGAUGGAUAACCAUGACUACUCUGAAACUUUCUUGUAAGUCGGAAAUUAUUUCAUAUUUUAAAGCUUUAGAAAUUGCUUUUUUAAAAAAUCCUGAAAGGAGUUGCAUUAGGAAAAAGACUUGAGCUUUAAGAUGUCAUCUGAGUAAUGAAAACAGACAAGAGAAUUGUGUUUCCUUCUCUCUCCCAGAGAGCAAGACCAAGGAUAGGAAGAGGAUGUGAAGUUGGCCAGGCCCCACCCUAAGUUCUCAGGUCAGAAUGACCGAUUGUUUGACAUGACCCCAUGUUCAUCAGCCCUGCACAGAUGUAGGUCUUCUCUCUAGUGACGGUCACAGGAAGCCAGAGCUGGGCCCGGGUUCCAGAAACUCAUCCCACAGGGGAACACAAUCAUCACACACACACAAUGUUGUCACUGUGGCUUGAAACACUAGAGAGAGAUGACAUUUCUCUCCAUUUCUCAACAGGCUGAAGCAACUAUGAGUUCGAAGACAUAGGAGCCAUAAGUUUGGGACCUGGCCAGCUCAAUUUUUUUACAUAAAAAGUUAUCUAUUAUAAUGAUAUUAAUUACAUAUGUGCUUCCCUCACCCCACUCCCCAAUAAACACAAAGGACUUCAGAGAA